GCUAGGGAUGGGAUCCAGGUGUUGCCAGGUGAAUAAGUUUGAGUUACUGCCGGUUAAGAAGCGUCUCAGCGCACUCAGCGUCAGCACAGCCUAGAAGCCUGCAGAUGUGCACGGGUUGGUUAAAGAUGCAGUGACGAAAAAUGGACAGAAGAAGCACGAAGGUGAAGAAGAAGAUGGUUUACACCACUUGGGAUUAAGUGUUGUGCUUUUCUAUUACGCAGUUUCAGAGUCUUCAAUGAAACAACAGCGCAAUGUAACAAUAUAAAAACCUGCAGAGCUGAAAAAUCAAACUGCAGUUCCUCGAGUGGCCACUCGAAGCUCGCUCCCAGAGUGAGACACUCAUGUUAAAAUGCCCAACUUUACAUCAGAAAUAAACAUGUUUACAGCC